UACGUAGGUGGCGAGCGUUGUCCGGAAUUACUGGGCGUAAAGGGCGCGUAGGCGGCUUUUUAAGUCAGAUGUGAAAACCCGGGGCUUAACUCCGGGAUUGCAUUUGAAACUGGAGAGCUUGAGUGCAGGAGAGGUAAGUGGAAUUCCUAGUGUAGCGGUGAAAUGCGUAGAUAUUAGGAGGAACACCAGUGGCGAAGGCGACUUACUGGACUGUAACUGACGCUGAGGCGCGAAAGCGUGGGGAGCGAAC
rnacentral:rRNA from 1 species